GACAGAGGGUGCAAACGUUGUUCGGAAUUACUGGGCGUAAAGCGCGCGUAGGCAGCAGCGUGUGUCAGGCGUGAAAUCCCACGGCUCAACCGUGGAAGUGCACUCGAAACUGCGCAGCUAGAGUCUCGGAGAGGAAGGCGGAAUGCUUGGUGUAGAGGUGAAAUUCGUAGAUAUCAAGCGGAACACCGGUGGCGAAGGCGGCCUUCUGGACGAUGACUGACGCUGAAGCGCGAAAGCGUGGGGAGCAAACAGG
rnacentral:rRNA from 1 species